rnacentral:lncRNA from 1 species
AAGGGGGUAUGAGCCAUUCAUUGUCUUACGUGAUCGACAGAUUUAAUUUUGAAGCAAUUUAAUUUCGACGAAUCGCAGGCGGCAAUGGCGAGCAAAUGCUGCUAACCACGCCACCGAGCAAACUCGAGACAUCGAACACAAGCGACAACUGCGGACUGCGGGCAUACCGUCAGUGACGUCGUCCUCUCCAUCGCAGCUGAACGUGUGUAUAGGCUCAUUAA